rnacentral:rRNA from 1 species
AACGAACGCUGGCGGCGUGCCUAACACAUGCAAGUCGAACGAGAACACCGGGAGUAGUGGCGCACGGGUGCGUCGCGGGUCGGAACCUGCACACAGGGUCGGCAUACCUCUCAGAAAGGGGUGCUAUUAGCGGAUAAUGUCUACGGACCAAGGAUAUAUCGCCCUUGGUUGUGCAAGCGUUGGAUUAGCUGGUUGGUAGGGUAAAAGCAUAGCAAGGCGACGAUCCAUAGCUGGUCUGGGAGGAUGAUCAGCCACACUGCGACGAAGACACGGCCGAGAAUCCUACGCGAGGGAGGAGUGGGGAAUGGUGGACAAUGGGGGAAGGCCUGAUGCAGCAAUGCCGGGUAAGUGAUGAUGGCCUGAGGGUAGUAAAGCUCUUUUAACCGGGAAGAUAAUGACGGUACCGGGAGAAUAAGCCCCGGCUAACUCCGUG